rnacentral:rRNA from 1 species
UACAGAGGGUGCGAGCGUUGUCCGGAAUCACUGGGCGUAAAGGGCGCGUAGGCGGUCUCUUAAGCGUGCGGUGAAAGCCCGGGGCUCAACUCCGGGUCGGCCGUGCGAACUGGGGGACUGGAGCUUGUCAGAGGCAGGCGGAAUUCCGGGUGUAGCGGUGGAAUGCGUAGAGAUCCGGAAGAACACCGGUGGCGAAGGCGGCCUGCUGGGACAGUGCUGACGCUGAGGCGCGACAGCGUGGGGAUCAAACAGG